UCUACACUCAUCCCAUUUCAUUCUCACACUUGUCUAAAAAGGAGGGGGGUCUACCAUGAUGGCCAUUUUAAAGACGGGGAAACUGAGGCACAGAGGAAGGAGUCCCUUGGCCAAGUUCACAGAGGGGCAAACCGCAGGGUCAGGGCUGGUCUCAUUUCCAGGGCCAGGACUGCUAACCACCACCCUGCUGCCAGGUUCGCUAAGCCAAAAAGGUUUGACGAAGGCUUGUGGAAUUUUCCUGUGGAUCCUGUGCCCUUUGAUUCUUAUGCCAGAUUACACACCGCAGAUUACGUGCAAGGACGCAGACAAUUGUGUCAGAGGAAGUCGUUAGAGGUACACAGGAGAACUUCGCAGACGGAGAUACUGAGGCCCAGAGCAGGGGGGAGACGCCCCAAGUAUCUCGUGGCAGGUUCAAUUUCUUCUCCGCCGUCACCAUCAUGAUCAUCUCGUAAGUGUGGAUACAACAAUAAAAAUAUAGCGUGUCUCA